rnacentral:misc_RNA from 1 species
GAUGAAGAACGCAGCGAAAUGCGAUAAGUAAUGUGAAUUGAAGAAUUCAGUGAAUCAUCGAAUCUUUGAACGCACAUUGCGCCCGCCAGCAUUCUGGCGGGCAUGCCUGUUCGAGCGUCAUUUCAACCCUCGAGCCCCCCCGGGGGCCUCGGUGUUGGGGGACGGCACACCAGCCGCCCCCGAAAUGCAGUGGCGACCCCGCCGCAGCCUCCCCUGCGUAGUAGCACACACCUCGCACCGGAGCGCGGAGGCGGUCACGCCGUAAAACGCCCAACUUUCUUAGAGUUGACCUCGGAUCAGGUAGGAAUACCCGCUGAACUUAAGCAUAUCAAUAAGCGGAGGA